rnacentral:tRNA from 1 species
AUUUAUAUAGUUUAAUUAAAACAUUACAUUUUCACUGUAAAAAUAAAGAAAAUUUCUUUUAUAGAUU